GAUGAACGCUGGCGGCGUGCCUAAUACAUGCAAGUCGAGCGAAUGGAUUAAGAGCUUGCUCUUAUGAAGUUAGCGGCGGACGGGUGAGUAACACGUGGGUAACCUGCCCAUAAGACUGGGAUAACUCCGGGAAACCGGAGCUAAUACCGGAUAACAUUUUGAACCGCAUGGUUCGAAAUUGAAAGGCGGCUUCGGCUGUCACUUAUGGAUGGACCCGCGUCGCAUUAGCUAGUUGGUGAGGUAACAGCUCACCAAGGCAACGAUGCGUAGCCGACCGGAGAGGGUGAUCGGCCACACUGGGACUGAGACACGGCCCAGACUCCUACGGGAGGCAGCAGUAGGGAAUCUUCCGCGAUGGACGAAAGUCUGACGGAGCAACGCCGCGUGAGUGAUGAAGGCUUUCGGGUCGUAAAACUCUGUUGUUAGGGAAGAACAAGUGCUAGUUGAAUAAGCUGGCACCUUGACGGUACCUAACCAGAAAGCCACGGCUAACUACGUGCCAGCAGCCGCCGUAA
rnacentral:rRNA from 1 species